rnacentral:rRNA from 1 species
UACGGGGGGGGCAAGCGUUGUUCGGAAUUACUGGGCGUAAAGGGCGCGUAGGCGGUCCGCUAAGUUGGAUGUGAAAGCUCAGGGCUUAACCCUGAAAUGGCAUUGAAUACUGCUGUGCUGGAGGUUUGGAGGGGGGACUGGAAUUCUUGGUGUAGCAGUGAAAUGCGUAGAUAUCAAGAGGAACACCAGUGGCGAAGGCGAGUCCCUGGACAACACCUGACACUGAGGCACGAAAGCUAGGGGAGCAAACAGG